GGUGUAUAAAGGUGGAUGUCUGAUGACAGUCUGAUGAUGAGUCGAAUAAAACGUAUACUUAUACCUUUGUCAAGCAGAGGCGAGUUGAGCACACCACACCAGAGAAAUUCAUGUCAAAUACGUAAUGUUUUGUGUUUUCUGAAGGUUGAAGUGCUGCCAGUCUGCGCUUGGCGAUUUUCGUAUUCACGUCGCGCUCGCCACGGCGAGCAAGAUUCACGCGAAAACGCAUGAAAUCAAUUGAUGAGGAAAUAAGAUCACUUGUCGCAUCUCAGAGGCAUCAUCUCGGCGAGAUGGAGGGCUUUCAUUAGACCCGGAGCAUACGAUAGCACGUCACUUAAGCGUAUCAGUGUAUGUAGUUACAAAAUACACAUAUACACCUAGAUAUAUUUUAUAUAAACUCAGUUAGGAAUAUUAGAAAUGUAAGAAAUACUCGUAUUCUAGGUGAAAUUUGUUUUUGAGCUGUGCUUGACAUAUUCUUAUGAAUAUUUAAAAAGAUAAAUUAUAUUUCCGGAAAACAAAAUGUUUUCUAAAAAUACAACAGCAUUAAAUUGAUAUUUAUUUUAUUGGUUCAAUGACUUUUUUUAUUAUUUUAUGUUCUAAUUAUUGUUAUUAUUGUUUUUAUUGAUAAAUGCAAUUAGUUUCA